UACGUAGGGUGCGAGCGUUAAUCGGAAUUACUGGGCGUAAAGCGUGCGUAGGCGGUUCGCUGUGUCCGAUGUGAAAGCCCCGGGCUUAACCUGGGAAUGGCAUUGGAAACUGGCGGGCUUGAGUGUGGCAGAGGAGUGUGGAAUUCCUGGUGUAGCGGUGAAAUGCGCAGAUAUCAGGAGGAACACCAAUGGCGAAGGCAGCACUCUGGGACGUGACUGACGCUGAGACGCGAAAGCGUGGGGAGCAAACAGG
rnacentral:rRNA from 1 species